AUACGGAGGGUGCAAGCGUUACUCGGAAUCACUGGGCGUAAGGGACGCGUAGGCGGGUUAUUAAGUCGGGUGUGAAAUCCAAUGGCUCAACCAUUGAACUGCAUUCGAAACUGAUAACCUAGAGUAUGGAAGGGGCAGGUGGAAUUAGUGGUGUAGGGGUAAAAUCCGUAGAUAUCACUAGGAAUACCGAAAGCGAAGGCGACCUGCUGGGACAUUACUGACGCUGAGGCGUGAAAGCGUGGGGAGCAAACAGGAUUAGAAACCCCUGUAGUCC
rnacentral:rRNA from 1 species